UACGGAGGGGGCAAGCGUUGUUCGGAAUUACUGGGCGUAAAGCGCGCGUAGGCGGCUUUUCAAGUCAGGCGUGAAAGCCCCAGCUUAACCUGGGAACUGCGUUUGAUACUGUUAAGCUAGAGUGUGGAAGGGGCUACUGGAAUUCCGUGUGUAGCGGUGAAAUGCGUAGAUAUCUGGAGGAACACCGGUGGCGAAAGCGGCUCACUGGCUCGGUUCGUGACGCUGAGGCGCGAAAAGCGUGGGGAGCAAACAGGG
rnacentral:rRNA from 1 species